CCAGGUUGCAAUAUAUCCUCCUCAUCCCCCUCCCUCCCUCCCCACCUGGGUGCUUCUUUUUCUUAUUCUUCUUCCACUUGGCCUCGUGCCUUACCAAUCUGUCUCGACCCUCACCCACUUUCAGCCCUUUCAGAUCUGGACCAGUGACAUUUGCAGCGUGAGCGGCGGCAGUGGCAGGGAAAGAGGCUCUCACGUUUGCAUACCCUCCGAGAAUAGUCUGCCUCUCCUCUCUCCCUCUCCUCUCACACAGAUGAUGGCAAUCACUUCUACUUCACAGAUGAAGAUAAAAUUCUCGGGGUGGGUCCAUACUGCGACGAUACCUCAAGAGCUUCUUCGUUGCGAGUUACUCAGGUCAAUGGGGAUAUGGACAUUCUGGUCAACUCCCCAGUGAACGGGUUUUUCAACGCCACUGCGUGUGUAGAGUCGAAGCAGGAAAAUGAACUCUCGUCCAAGAAUGCUGGGUGGAGACUAUGAUGGAGUAUUGACUUCAAUAUAUAUAUAUAUAUAUAUAUAUACAUCUCUAUAAUUGGGGGGUGGUUGGUUGAGGAGGAAAGUGGGUGGAGAGGAAAGUUAGACAUAAAAUUGCAGAAUCACCAAAUUGUGAAGUUGAUGAAACAGAGAGAGCGUCAAUCUCCAAAGUACUAGAGUACAAUUUGUUUGUUAGUGGUAUGGGAAGAAAUUGGAGCAUCCUUUUUUUGGUCUCCACCCUAAUCAGCUCUUUAAAGUUGUCUUCUUUUAGUUAGACUAGAAAACAAUUUGUAUGUGGACAAGUUAAUAGGUAAUGAAGGCAAGUCUAAGUUGCCAUUGAGAAGAAUCAUCUCCAUUUCAAUAAAAGGAUUAGAAAAGGGUGUCAAUAACUCUUCAAUUUGUCAUUAAA